AUNNANAAUACGAAGNGAGNGGGNGUANCAAUANGUNAGCGGGAGAAGGGUGAUUUAACCGUGGGAACGAAAAAAAUGGUUUGGAACAACCCAGGGAAACUUGGGCUAAUACCGGAUAAGCCCUUACGGGGAAAGAUUUAUCGCCGAAAGAUCGGCCCGCGUCUGAUUAGCUAGUUGGUGAGGUAAUGGCUUACCAAGGCGACGAUCAGUAGCUGGUCUGAGAGGAUGAUCAGCCACACUGGGACUGAGACACGGCCCAGACUCCUACGGGAGGCAGCAGUGGGACUCCUACUGGAGGCAGCAGUGGG
rnacentral:misc_RNA from 1 species